rnacentral:rRNA from 1 species
GCCAUAACUGGUCCUGUCAAAUCACAAAUUAACCUAAUCAACAAAACAAAACAUUUGACCCCCACAGUAGAUGAGAUCGAACAGCCAACAGGCACCAACAGUACCGCAAGGGAACACCCCAAAGCAAAAAAAAGCAAAGAUAAAACCUUGUACCUUUAGCAUCAUGAUUUAGCAAGGACCAAAGACAAGAAGCAUCAAAGCCCCAGCCCCCCGAAACCAAGUGAGCUACUCUGAGGCAGCCACCAGGGCACACCCGUCUCUGUAGCAAAAGAGUGGGAAGACCACAGAGUAGAGGUGAAACGCCUAUCGAACCUGGAGAUAGCUGGCUACCCAAACAAAGAACCUAAGUUCUACUUUAGUGCCAUCACCACAACUCAUAGUGCCCUAAAUAUAGUCAGUAGGGGUACAGCUCUAUUGACACAGGAUACAACCUGCACUUGAGAGUACCCCCCGCAGCCCCCCCCCCGUAGGCCCUAAAGCAGCCACCCAAAAAAAUAUCGUUCAAGAAUUUCUCUAAAAAAUCCAAAUACCCCCUAAAAACUCCAAACUAACUAAGGGUUAAUCUAUCCACAUAGAUAAAACCAUGCUAAAACUAAUAAUAAGAAUCACUCUCUCCGCGUAACCAUCCACUAGACACAGAAACCCUACUAGUAAUUAACAGACCACAAAAGGCACAAUACUACACACACCCACCAAUUUCCCCCAACUGUGACCCCGACACAGGUGCGCUACAAAGAAAGAUAAAACAUUACAAAAGGAACUCGGCAAACAUGAACUCCAACUGUUUAACAAAAACAUAACCUUUAGCCAAACAAAUAUUAAAGGCGUCGCCUGCCCAGUGAACAAUUAAACGGCCGCGGUACCCUAACCGUGCAAAGGUAGCAUAAUCAUUUGUCUACUAAUUAUAGACCUGUAUGAAAGGCAAAAUGAGAGUUCCGCUGUCUCCUGUAAUCAAUCAAUAAAACUGAUCCCCCAGUCCAAAAGCUGGGAUACUACUAUAAGACCAGAAGACCCUGUGAAGCUUUAAAUUAACCUAUUACACGCACUAAUAGCUACUUUAGGUUGGGGCGACCUUGGAAAAAGAAAAACUUCCAAUCAAAUGACCUACCAUCACUGCCACGGCCCACAAGCCUCUCUCGACCCAGAUAACUGAUUACUGAACCAAGUUACUCCAGGGAUAACAGCGCUAUCUUCUUCAAGAGCCCAUAUCAAAAAGAAGGUUUACGACCUCGAUGUUGGAUCAGGACACCCUAAUGGUGCAACCGCUAUUAAAGGUUCGUUUGUUCAACGAUUAACAGUCCCACGUGAUCUGAGUUCAGACCGGAGCAAUCCAGGUCAGUUUCUAUCUAUACCUAGCCCCCUCUAGUACGAAAGGACCGAGGUAGCAAAGCCAAUACCAAAAGCACGCUCUAACAAAAGAAAUAAAUAAAUUUAAUAUCAAAUGCCACCUUAUUGACCUAGACCAGGUUAUUAAGAAUUAUUCUUAAUU